rnacentral:rRNA from 1 species
GACGAACGCUGGCGGCGUGCCUAAUACAUGCAAGUAGAACGCUGAAGGGAGGAGCUUGCUCUUCUUGGAUGAGUUGCGAACGGGUGAGUAACGCGUAGGUAACCUGCAUUGUAGCGGGGGAUAACUAUUGGAAACGAUAGCUAAUACCGCAUAACAAUGGAUGACCCAUGUCAUUUAUUUGAAAGGGGCAAAUGCUCCACUACAAGAUGGACCUGCGUUGUAUUAGCUAGUAGGUGAGGUAACGGCUCACCUAGGCGACGAUACAUAGCCGACCUGAGAGGGUGAUCGGCCACACUGGGACUGGGACACGGCCCAGACUCCUACGGGAGGCAACAGGAGGGGAUCUUCGGCAAUGGGGGCAACCCUGACCGAGCAACGCCGGGUGAGGGAAGAAGGGUCUCGGAUCGGAAAGCUCCGUUGUAAGUCAAGAACGGGUGUGAGAGUGGAAAGUUCACACUGUGACGGUAGCUUACCAGAAAGGGACGGCUAACUACGUG